rnacentral:rRNA from 1 species
UACGUAGGGUGCAAGCGUUAAUCGGAAUUACUGGGCGUAAAGCGUGCGCAGGCGGUGAUGUAAGACAGGUGUGAAAUGCCCGGGCUUAACCUGGGAACUGCAUUUGUGACUGCAUGGCUAGAGUGUGUCAGAGGGGGGGUAGAAUUCCACGUGUAGCAGUGAAAUGCGUAGAUAUGUGGAGGAAUACCGAUGGCGAAGGCAGCCCCCCUGGGAUAACACUGACGCUCAUGCACGAAAGCGUGGGGGAGCAAACAGG